rnacentral:rRNA from 1 species
UACGUAGGGCGCAAGCGUUGUCCGGAAUUAUUGGGCGUAAAGAGCUCGUAGGCGGUUUGUUGCGUCGGCUGUGAAAUCCCCGAGGCUCAACCUCGGGUCUGCAGUCGAUACGAGCAAACUAGAGUGUUGCAGGGGAGACUGGAAUUCCUGGUGUAGCGGUGAAAUGCGCAGAUAUCAGGAGGAACACCGGUGGCGAAGGCGGUUCUCUGGGCAUUACCUGACGCUGAGGAGCGAAAGCGUGGGGAGCAAACAGG